rnacentral:lncRNA from 1 species
AGGGUUACAGUAUAAAAGAGAAAGAGGGGUCGAAGAAGAUCUGUAAUGGUUGCGCCAUAGGCCGAGCGCUUAUCCCGUAAACGAAGGGGUGGCGUGGUAUUUUCCACGGAGAAAAAGGUUUUCAAUAAUCGUGCGAUUGGCGUAAAUCAACACAAAAACACGCACAAUUUUACUACUGCCUGUGCGUGUUUGGGAAUCCAUGGCUGCUUUCUUGCUUCGAUUUGCAAUCAAGGCGAGAUGAUUUCCCUACAUUUUCUCUCUUAUUUCAUCAUCAUUUUUACUAUGAUUCUGAGUUUCUUUUACUAUUUAAGAUGAUUUCGUGUUAUGUCUGAGUAUGCGAUGAUCAAUCUUCAUCUGGAUCUGUUUACACUUUGUUAUUUGAUACUUGUUAAGCACAGAUUUUUCACCAAAACACUUGGUAUCAAUUUGAAUUUUGAAUUGGAGUAGGUUUUCUUUACUACAUUUCUAAUAAUUUUGGGAUUCAAUUGAUGACCCGGAUCUGAUUUUUUGGCAUGAAUUCGAGUUUUGGGGAUUUAGUUUUUUGAUUAUACUACUAAAAAGAAGAACAUUUUUGUAUCUUCUUUCUCUCGUUUUUAUGUGACGAUGUUGUGAAACAAAUACAAAAUGUUGAAUAUUUUCGUUGAUAAGAUCUUAAAGGUUGUUUUUGUUGGGGAGAAAUCAGAAAUGUAAAUAAAAUUGGCCUCGUGUUAAUAUAUUAAAAAAAUGAUAGCAAGUUUUAAAUAUAUUUUUGUUACCAGUAAUACCUUUUUAGCUAUUUUGAAACUAUAUUGUAAAUAAAUCUUUGAGUUAAAUAGAUUUGGAAAUUCUUUUUUUUUUUCUCUGUUAGGCUCAAGGCGUUUGGUGUAUACUUUUGUCACAUAGAUGUCGAGAAAUAUUUCAUGUUCCUUUAAGGGAGCGUAUUUAUCCAUGUCAUACAUCAAUUUUUUUUUAAAUCAACUAUAAUUAAAAACUUAAUAGUUCAUUAAAAAAUAGGAAUUCCGUAACUAGAAACAUCAAAAUACAUAACUAGAAAAUAAAGACAUUUAGAAAAUCCACAUUAUAUACAAUAAAAUAAAAGCAUGGAAGUUAUAUUUGUCUUCAAAUUUUGUUUUCACCUUUGUAACCCACUUGAAUAUAUAUCCUUUGAAAGGUGAUUCAUGACUGCAAAAAAUAUUUGCAUUUCCGCUAGUAGUUUGUUCAGGGGUAUACAAAAAAACCGCAAAACCGAGCCGAUCCGGCAAACCCGAAUCCGGAAAAACCAAAACCGAAACCGAAAAAACCGGGUAUCUACUCGUCGAUUUCGGUUUGAAUAUUUAGAUAUCUGCGGAUAUCAGAACCGAAUCGUUAUACAGGCCGGCUCAACCAAUUUGGGGCUCUAAGCGAACCAAAAAUUUUGGGCCUUUUUCAUUACUAUCAACUUUGAGAAGUAAAGGUUAAUUAGUUAACAUUUAAAAAAUCACAGCAAUGAUCCACAAACAAAUGAAAUAUAUAGUUUUUGGUUUCAUUAACCCUAUGAUCAAAUUUUCAUAUAUGUGAGUUACUGUUAUAUGUGAGUUACAACAGUUUGAUCAUCGAAUUAUAGUUUAAUCUAAAAAUAUUAUUAAUGUAAAUCUAAGGUAUUGUCUUCUCUUGCUUUAAAUGGCGUAAAUGCUUCGCCUAAUUAAGGUGGUUAUUUGAUGUAAAAAUACGUUGUCAUAAUAAAAAAGUUCUUAAAUUAUCUUGUUAUUGUGUACAUUCCACAUGUAUUCUUGUUAUUGUCAUAAUAAUUAAGGCUGAUUUACCCUAAUGCUUUAUAAUAUAUUAUAUUGUAUAAACAAAUUUUUAAAAUUAAACCCCAUUUAUUAAUUUAAUUACAUUCCACAUGCAUCCUUUCAUUAAGUAAUAACUAUUAACCCUAACAAGUCUACACUCUAGAGUCUACAAUACAAAUAUACAAUCAAUAUCAAUAUAUCAUAUGACAUGAAGACAAGCUAACAAGAUUAGAAGAAGAACAGAUGGAUCAUAGAACUUGCAAGUAGUUUAUUACCUUUUAUGGAGAUUGGAGAAUGCAGGCUUCAAUGGAGAAGGAAGAAACCUGAAACCGUAUGCAGUGGAGAAGGAAGAAACAAUAAGUGUAUGCAGUUGAUGCAGUUGUGCUAUGAAUCAGAACUCAAAAGUCAGAAGUCAAAAGAAGAAGAUUAGAAGAUGAUUGAGCAGAUCAGCAGAGCAGGCGAUGAGGGAUUGAGGGCGCAAACACAGAAAUUGUAUACAGUGGAACUAUGGAAGAAGAAACGUUGUUUUUUUAGCCGUUUAGAGUCUUAGCCGAUUAGGGCUAUAAUACAUGGACUCCUUGGUUUAUGGGGCCCUUUUGAUGUGGGGGCUCUAAGCGCUAACUUUGAUAUACAUUGCAUUAAGCUGCCCUGCCGUCANNNNN